rnacentral:rRNA from 1 species
UACGUAGGGCGCGAGCGUUGUCCGGAAUUAUUGGGCGUAAAGAGCUCGUAGGCGGCCUGUUGCGUCCGCUGUGAAAUCCCGGGGCUCAACCCUGGGCGUGCAGUGGAUACGGGCAGGCUGGAGGCAGGCAGGGGAGAGCGGAAUUCCCGGUGUAGCGGUGAAAUGCGCAGAUAUCGGGAGGAACACCGGUGGCGAAGGCGGUUCUCUGGGCCGGUGCUGACGCUGAGGAGCGAAAGCGUGGGGAGCGAACAGG